GGAUUGUGGCUCAAGGGGUAGAGCGCUUGCCUAGCAUGCGUGAGGCACUGGGUUCGACCCUCAGCACCA
rnacentral:tRNA from 1 species